rnacentral:rRNA from 1 species
AGAGUUUGAUCAUGGCUCAGAUUGAACGCUGGCGGAAUGCUUUACACAUGCAAGUCGAACGGCAGCACGGGAGCUUGCUCCUGGUGGCGAGUGGCGAACGGGUGAGUAAUGUAUCGGAACGUACCCCGUCGUGGGGGAUAACUCUCCGAAAGGAGAGCUAAUACCGCAUACGACCCGAGGGUGAAAGCGGGGGACCUGGGGUAACCUGGGCCUCGCGCGAUGGGAGCGGCCGAUAUCGGAUUAGCUAGUUGGUGGGGUAAAGGCCUACCAAGGCGACGAUCCGUAGCGGGUCUGAGAGGACGACCCGCCACACUGGAACUGAGACACGGUCCAGACUCCUACGGGAGGCAGCAGUGGGGAAUUUUGGACAAUGGGCGCAAGCCUGAUCCAGCCAUUCCGCGUGAGUGAAGAAGGCCUUCGGGUUGUAAAGCUCUUUCAGCAGGAACGAAACGGUGGGUCUUAAUACGGCCUGCUAAUGACGGUACCUGCAGAAGAAGCACCGGCUAACUACGUGCCAGCAGCCGCGGUAAUACGUAGGGUGCGAGCGUUAAUCGGAAUUACUGGGCGUAAAGCGUGCGCAGGCGGCGACAUAAGACAGAUGUGAAAUCCCUGGGCUCAACCUGGGAACGGCGUUUGUGACUGUGUGGCUAGAGUGUAGCAGAGGGGGGUGGAAUUCCACGUGUAGCAGUGAAAUGCGUAGAGAUGUGGAGGAACACCGAUGGCGAAGGCAGCCCCCUGUGUUAACACUGACGCUCAUGCACGAAAGCGUGGGGAGCAAACAGGAUUAGAUACCCUGGUAG